rnacentral:lncRNA from 1 species
UUUUAGUGUAUGGGUGUUUCGUUUGCAUGUAUGUGUGUACAACAAUUUCGUGCCUGGUGCCUGUGCAAACCAGGAGUCAGAUCCCUUGGGACCAGAGUUACAGAUGGUUGUGAGUCAUCCUAUGGGUGCUAGGGAUUAAACUGAGGACAUCUGUAAGAGCAGCCAGUGCUCCAACAUUGCUUUUCUAUACAGGUCCUUUUGAGCAAGACUCUGUAGCCUUCAUAGUUUCUAAAUGAAAUCCAGAGUCAUGGGCAAUCACGCAAUGAAAGCCUGCUAUGCUUUGCACAGUGCUGCAAUCGUCCAAGGCUCAGAAUGAGAGAGCUGGUAGUGCAGGACAGUAAUGACAACUACUCAAGGCUGAUGCAGGAGGACCACAAGCUCACAGCCAGCCCGAGGAAUACGGGGGAGCGGCCACCAGAUGGUCUAGCCAACUAAGCCCAGGUUGUAUUGUGUGUGAGGGAGUCAUGUUGGCCCAAUAUUAGGGUCUCAGUGUAAAACUUUCUCCCCUGGGCUUUGGGGAAGAGGCAGUCAAGCUGUAACAAACUGGGCAAGUUUUUCAAUAUCAAAGACUUAGAAUCCCAGGAUUUAAAAUUCCUGGGUACACAAGCCCUUCUGUAUUAGGAUUCUUCUAGAUCCUUCCUGGACAACUUAAGUGUUUGAAAAGAAAAAAGUAAAAUAAGCUCACUCUUAGAGCUUUUUACCAACCCCACAGCAGAUGCUGAGAGACCCCGAAAACCCUAAAAAGUGCUCUACUGAGUAACCAAGAAGCGUCUCUGGGGCGCCAUUUCCCUUGCGAGCGUGUUUCUCUGUAAAAGGGAUUGUGUGUGUGUGUGUUUGGGGGGGUCGGAUGGCAUCGGAUGCGGAAAUCGCCGCAGGGGUCACUGGGGAGUGUAGUUCCUUAGGCAGAGGCGCUGAGAGGAGAGCGACUACGUUUUAGAAACGUGGCCUUAGGAAGGAGGAUGAGGCCCCCAGAUGCCGGAGCAUCCAUACUCCCGCUAAACGAAGCACGCGGCCCAGAAACUGACCGACCAGAGGACAAAGGGAACUGCGGGCCGUCCAAGUGUAGUGGGUGGCGUGGGGCAUGCUGGGAGGCGUGGUCCCUGUGCCUGGAGGACUCUGGAUGGUGUAGUCCCGGCGCCUGCUGGGGCUGGGGAGGGGGUGUCUCUCCCCAGCUGGUGGCUGGAGCAGCUCCUUGUUCUUUGGUGGCGUUGUACCUCCUGCUGGGGAGAACACUUUUGGGCUCCUGACUGCCCAGCUUCAGGUGAGUACCAUUCUCUUUUGCAUCCUGAACCAGGAGUAGGUUUCUCUUUGCUCUCUUUCAACAUCUUGUAUCUCAUGGUGUCCCACUGGGGACCAGAACCCACCUGGUUCCUCCAGGAAGAUCUUAUCUUGUUCUAAGGGUGACAGUUUUUACAUGGAAUUUUCUCGAAACACUUCCAAUCGUUUCCCCUGCAUUCCACCUCAGCAUUUGUUUAGCCUGGUCAGUCCUGGGGCUUGUCAGGAAAGAGCCAGCCUGUGUCUGUCCUCAUUCACUGUUUGUCCUGCUGGAAUAGCUUUCAGGAAUUUUCUUUUUUUGGGUGGGGGAGGGCGGGUUAUGUUUAUAUUUGGAUUGCUGUGUUUUGAGACACUGUGAUUCUGCAACUUUAAAAUCUCAUUUAAAAGAUCAGCUUAUGCAAGAACAAUAAUUUAAAAUGCCUCCAUCUCUCUAGCAAAACCUCCCAUGCUAAUUAUGUAAAGCUCACAGUUCAGCCAAAGUCCUUUUGUUUCUUUUAUCUCUGCUUUUAGGAAUUUUCAGUUGCACCUACUUCAAUAGGCAUCUCUAACACCAAGUGACACCUGCACACACAAUUUUAUUUUAAAAGAUGUGUACUUUUAAUGUAUACAGUUUCAAUAUUACACCCAACAUUAAUAACUUUUUAAUAUGAUAGUUAAUAUUCAGUCCAUAUGGAGUUUUCCCCAGUUGUUUAAAAAGUAUUUUUUGUUGUUGUUUUCUUUUUCUCUCCAGUCACAACAUCUGUGAUCAAACGCAGGUAAAGGAGAAGUAUGUGGAAUUCAGCAAGCUGGCUUUCUCUUUCUCCUCCUGUGCCCCUCCUCCUGUGUCUGGGCCUUGCUGAGCAGUGUGUAACAGCUGUGACUUCUAUCUGAUGAUAUAAGCUGGCUCUCUGAGUUUGCCUUGCUCCUUUGUUCUUUCCAGUUAGUUCACUUUCUCUUUGAUGGGCUGUGGAAUCCUCUAGUUCCUCAGUGCUC